GAUGAACGCUGGCGGCGUGCCUAAUACAUGCAAGUCGAGCGAAAAGACGAGGAGCUUGCUCCUCUGACGUUAGCGGCGGACGGGUGAGUAACACGUGGAUAACCUACCUAUAAGACUGGGAUAACUUCGGGAAACCGGAGCUAAUAACGGAUAAUAUAUUGAACCGCAUGGUUCAAUAGUGAAAGACGGUUUUGCUGUCACUUAUAGAUGGAUCCGCGCCGCAUUAGCUAGUUGGUAAGGUAACGGCUUACGAAGGCAACGAUCCGUAGCCGACCUGAGAGGGUGAUCGGCCACACUGGAGCUUGACCACGGUCCAUACUCCUACGGGAGGCAGCAGUAUGGAAUCUUCCGCAAUGGGCGAAAGCUUGACGGAGCAACGCCGCGUGUGUGAUGACGGUCUUCCGAUCGUAAUACUCUGUUACUAGUUAUGAACAACUUUGUACGUAGCUAUGCCCGUCUUGACGGUACCUAAUCAGAAAGCCCCGGCUAACUACGUG
rnacentral:rRNA from 1 species